GGAGAGAUGCGGGAGUGGUUGAACCGGCGUGAUUGGAAAUCACGUGUACCUUCACGGGUACCGGGGGUUCGAAUCCCCCUCUCUCCGCCA
rnacentral:tRNA from 1 species